AGUUAAAAAGCUCGUAGUUGGAUUUCGGAGUGGGCCAGUUGGUCCGCCGCAAGGUGUGUUACUGACUGGUCUGCUCUUCUUCGCAAAGACUGCGUGUGCUCUUUGUUGAGUGUGCGUAGGAUUUACGACGUUUACUUUGAAAAAAUUAGAGUGUUCAAAGCAGGCUAUUGCUUGAAUACAUGAGCAUGGAAUAAUGGAAUAGGACUUUGGUCCCAUUUUGUUGGUUUCUAGGGCCGAAGUAAUGAUUAAGAGGGACAAUUGGGGGCAUCCGUAUUUCGUUGUCAGAGGUGAAAUUCUCGGAUUUACGAAAGACGAACAACUGCGAAAGCACUUGCCAAGAGUGUUUUCAUUAAUCAAGAACGAAAGUUAGAGGAUCGAAGACGAUCAGAUACCGUCCUAGUUCUAACCAUAAACGAUGUCGACUAGGGAUCAGCGGGCGUUAUCGUACGACCCCGUUGGCACCUUACGGGAAACCAAAGUUUCUGGAUUCCGGGGGAAGUAUGGUUGCAAAGCUGAAACUUAAAGGAAUUGACGGAAGGGCACCACCAGGAGUGGAGCCUGUGGCUCAAUUUGACUCAACACGGGAAAACUUACCAGGUCCAGACAUAGUAAGGAUUGACA
rnacentral:rRNA from 1 species